UACAAGUCGUAACAAGGUAUCCGUAGGUGAACCUGCGGAUGGAUCAUUAUAGGUUAUUUUGAAUGUUGUGUGAACAGUGUGGUUGUAGGUUGUGGUGGGUAUGUGAUAUAUGAUAUGAUAUGGUAUAUAUUAUAUGAUAUCAUCCACCUUGACAACAUUGACGUACAUUAGUGCUGAAUAUCAUUAUAUUGAAAUAUAAACAACUUUCAGCAAUGGAUCUCUUGGCUCUCGC
rnacentral:misc_RNA from 1 species